UUCCAGACUCCUACGGGAGGCAGCAGUGGGGAAUAUUGCACAAUGGGGGAAACCCUGAUGCAGCAACGCCGCGUGAGUGAAGAAGUAUUUCGGUAUGUAAAGCUCUAUCAGCAGGGAAGAAGAUGACGGUACCUGAUUAAGAAGCCCCGGCUAACUACGUGCCAGCAGCCGCGGUAAUACGUAGGGGGCAAGCGUUAUCCGGAUUUACUGGGUGUAAAGGGGGCGUAGACGGCAGUGCAAGUCUGAAGUGAAAGCCCCUGGCUAAACCCGGGAACUGCUUUGGAAACUGUACGGCUUGAGUGCUGGAGAGGUAAGCGGAAUUCCUAGUGUAGCGGUGAAAUGCGUAGAUAUUAGGAGGAACACCAGUGGCGAAGGCGGCUUACUGGACAGUAACUGACGUUGAGGCUCGAAAGCGUGGGUAGCAAACAGGAUUAGAUACCCGGGUACC
rnacentral:rRNA from 1 species